rnacentral:rRNA from 1 species
UACGGGGGGGGCAAGCGUUGUUCGGAAUUACUGGGUGUAAAGGGUUCGUAGGCGGUGUAGCAAGUCGGGAGUGAAAUCUCUGGGCUUAACCCAGAGGCUGCUUCCGAAACUGCUGUGCUUGAGUGUGGGAGAGGCGCGUGGAAUUGCAGGUGUAGCGGUGAAAUGCGUAGAUAUCUGCAGGAACACCCGUGGCGAAAGCGGCGCGCUGGACCACUACUGACGCUGAGGAACGAAAGCUAGGGGAGCAAACAGG